rnacentral:rRNA from 1 species
AUUGAACGCUGGCGGCAGGCCUAACACAUGCAAGUCGAGCGGAUGAAGGGAGCUUGCUCCUGGAUUCAGCGGCGGACGGGUGAGUAAUGCCUAGGAAUCUGCCUGGUAGUGGGGGAUAACGUCCGGAAACGGGCGCUAAUACCGCAUACGUCCUGAGGGAGAAAGUGGGGGAUCUUGGGCCCCCCCCCUUCAGAGUGAGCCUAGGUGGGAUUAGCUAGUUGGUGGGUUAAAGGCCUACCAAGGCGACGAUCCGUAACUGGUCUGAGAGGAUGAUCAGUCACACUGGAACUGAGACACGGUCCAGACUCCUACGGGAGGCAGCAGUGGGGAAUAUUGGACAAUGGGCGAAAGCCUGAUCCAGCCAUGCCGCGUGUGUGAAGAAGGUCUUCGGAUUGUAAAGCACUUUAAGUUGGGAGGAAGGGCAGUAAGUUAAUACCUUGCUGUUUUGACGUUACCAACAGAAUAAGCACCGGCUAACUUCGUG